UUUUUUUUUUUUUUUUUUUUUUUUUUUUUUUUUUUUCCCCAUGGUGUACAGCUUGUGGUUGUAGAGAGAGCAAGGAGCCUCUAUUGUACUGAUGUAAUCUUCAGUUUUACAUCCCAAACCACUCAGUGGCUAAGAGGGCAAUGCAGUGGUUUGGCUUUUGGUUGGAAGACAAAAGAUGGCCUUCCUUCAGAGUAGCUAAGCUGUGGCUUAGAGAAACAGAGUCCAACUGACUACCAGAGUUCCUGUGUGAUAUUUCACCUUCCCUCACAUAAAUGUUUCACAGAUGCAAAUUUCUCAGAAAAACAAGGAUUGAUCAGAAUGAAGUAACAAAUGGCAUUAAUUAUCAAACCACAAGAGCAGAUCAACAGGUCAAUAUUAAAGUGUGACUGCCUACUUUCAGACUACAGUAGCAGCUGCUUGCCUGAGGAAUUAUGGAGAG